rnacentral:lncRNA from 1 species
GCCUCUCUGUGCAUCAGGCCUGGGGCACAGCUUGCUGCCUGGACGAGGACAACCUUAAGUACAGCAGCAAGUUCGUCAAGGAAUUCCUGGGCAGACGGUCAAGCAAGGAUCUGCGAGCCCGUGUGGACUUCCACAACAACCUCGUGGGUGUGAAGGCAAGUGGGGUGGGGCUGGCGGGGUGGGAAGGGAGGGUCAGAAAGAGCGUCAGGGGGUUGGGGGUGGGGCGUGGGACUGGGGGCGGGGCUGCAGCAGGGCAGGCAGGCACACAGUGGAGUGGCCUCCUGUAGGAGGGUGGAGGCCGUGCAGCGCCAGUCAUGGUCCUGGAGCCUCUCGUGCCCAUAAGGCUCCCUACCCACCAAACGGGGCACUAGCCAUGGAGAGGUAUCCCAGGUU